UGUUUUUUUAGUAUAUAUAAGUAUAUUUGACUUCCAAUCAAAAAGACUAGAAUUAAUCUAGAAAAAAUAA
rnacentral:tRNA from 1 species